GUUGAUCCUGCCAACGACUACUACUACCCCAAUGGAGCGUACUACUACAUGGAGGAUUGUGACUAGUUAGGAGGCUCUGAGGCAGGAGGCCUUGCCUUUUUGAUUCAUUGUUUAUGUUUGUGCUAGCCUUCUUAAGGCAAAACUUGUUGACUUAUGUUUGUACUCAGAUAUUGUUUGCUUCCACUGGACUCAUGUCUUUGCGAGCUUAUAUAUUCGAGCCCUCGAGGCCCCUGACUUGUAAUAUGAAGCUGUAUGAUUUUAGUUUGUGUCUAGAGCUGUGUUGUGAUAUCUUCCAAUGAGUCCCUAAUCUUGAUCGUGCGUACUUGCAUGUAUGAUUAGCGUACAAUCAAAAUGGGGGCGUCAGAAGUUGGUAUAAGAACCAACUACCUGUAGGUAGCCCCUUUCCAACUCCUUGGCCGAAGUCUUGUAUUUGAAAAACUGUUACUAACAUUGUUGUGUGGGUUAUGGGCCCACAUAUCCAUGGUGUGGUAUUAGGAUCUUUUACACCUUUUUCUAUACUCUAGGUUCUGAUCUCUCUUUUACUUCGGGUUAAAGAUUUUGCUAACUCUAACUUUAGGUUCUCACAAAUAC
rnacentral:lncRNA from 1 species